rnacentral:rRNA from 1 species
CAGUAGCCGCGGGAAAACGAAGGGGGCUAGCGUUGCUCGGAAUUACUGGGCGUAAAGGGAGCGUAGGCGGAUCGUUAAGUUGGGGGUGAAAGCCCGGGGCUCAACCUCGGAACUGCCUUCAAUACUGGCGAUCUUGAGUAUGAGAGAGGUGUGUGGAACUCCGAGUGUAGAGGUGAAAUUCGUAGGUAUUCGGAAGAACACCAGUGGCGAAGGCGACACACUGGCUCAUUACUGACGCUGAGGCUCGAAAGCGUGGGGAGCAAACAGGAUUAGAUACCCCUGUAGUCCCUGUCUCUUAUAC